AAUCACUUGUUCUUUAAAUAAGGACUUGUAUCAACGGCACCACGAGGGUUAAACUGUCUCCUUUUUCAUAUCAGUGAAACUAAUCUCCCCGUGAAGAAGCGGGGAUAAUUUUAUAAGACGAGAAGACCCCAUGGAGCUUUAAACCCAUCUACACUCCGCUUAACCCUACCUUUAAACCUCUCGGAUCCUGUAUGUUCUGGUUUUAGGUUGGGGUGACCGCGGAGCAUAAACUAACCUCCACAAUGAAUAAAUUUUUUUCUUUAUCUAAGAUUAACACCUCUAAGAAUUAGUAUUCUAACAUAAAAUGAUCCGAUAUUCGAUCAACGAACCAAGUUACCCUGGGGAUAACAGCGCAAUCUACUUCAAGAGCCCCUAUCGACAAGUAGGUUUACGACCUCGAUGUUGGAUCAGGGUAUCCCAGUGGUGCAGCAGCUACUAAAGGUUCGUUUGUUCAACGAUUAAAACCCU
rnacentral:rRNA from 1 species